rnacentral:rRNA from 1 species
GACGAACGCUGGCGGCGUGCUUAACACAUGCAAGUCGAACGGAAAGGCCCUGCUUUUGUGAGGUGCUCGAGUGGCGAACGGGUGAGUAACACGUGAGUAACCUGCCCUUGACUUUGGGAUAACUUCAGGAAACUGGGGCUAAUACCGGAUAGGAGCUCCUGCUGCAUGGUGGGGGUUGGAAAGUUUCGGCGGUUGGGGAUGGACUCGCGGCUUAUCAGCUCGUUGGUGGGGUAGUGGCUUACCAAGGCUUUGACGGGUAGCCGGCCUGAGAGGGUGACCGGCCACAUUGGGACUGAGAUACGGCCCAGACUCCUACGGGAGGCAGCAGUGGGGAAUAUUGCACAAUGGGCGGAAGCCUGAUGCAGCAACGCCGCGUGCGGGAUGACGGCCUUCGGGUUGUAAACCGCUUUCGCCUGUGACGAAGCGUGAGUGACGGUAAUGGGUAAAGAAGCACCGGCUAACUACGUG